UAGCUCUGGGGGCAUGCUAUACAUGCAGUCGAGCGAUGGAUUAAGAGCUUGCUCUUAUGAAGUUAGCGGCGGCCGUUGUGAGUAACACGUGGGUAACCUGCCCAUAAGACUGGGAUAACUCCGGGAAACCGGGGCUAAUACCGGAUAACAUUUUGAACCGCAUGGUUCGAAAUUGAAAGGCGGCUUCGGCUCUCACAUAUGGAUGGACCCGCGUCGCAUUAGCUAGUUGGUGAGGUAACGGCUCACCACGGCAACGAUGCGUAGCCGACCUGAGAGGGUGAUCGGCCACUUUGGCACUGAGACACCGCCCAGACUCCUACGGGAGGCUGCACUAGGGAAUCUUCCGCAAUGUACGAU
rnacentral:rRNA from 1 species